GACGAACGCUGGCGGCGUGCUUGACACAUGCAAGUCGAACGGAAAGGCCCUGCUUUUGUGGGGUGCUCGAGUGGCGAACGGGUGAGUAACACGUGAGUAACCUGCCCUUGACUUUGGGAUAACUUCAGGAAACUGGGGCUAAUACCGGAUAGGAGCUCCUGCUGCAUGGUGGGGGUUGGAAAGUUUCGGCGGUUGGGGAUGGACUCGCGGCUUAUCAGCUUGUUGGUGGGGGAGUGGCUUACCAAGGCUUUGACGGGUAGCCGGCCUGAGAGGGUGACCGGCCACAUUGGGACUGAGAUACGGCCCAGACUCCUACGGGAGGCAGCAGUGGGGAAUAUUGCACAAUGGGCGGAAGCCUGAUGCAGCAACGCCGCGUGCGGGAUGACGGCCUUCGGGUUGUAAACCGCUUUCGCCUGUGACGAAGCGUGAGUGACGGUAAUGGGUAAAGAAGCACCGGCUAACUACGUG
rnacentral:rRNA from 1 species